rnacentral:misc_RNA from 1 species
UUCUCUGCCCAUUUAUAUAUACCCAACCCUCACAUCUCUCCCUCUCUACCCUUCACAUUAUUUCCUCUCUUAUCUUUCUUCCCCUUCACCUUUCUCUUCCUUUCUCCUUUUGGUUCGACUCGAAACCUGAAACCUCCUAAUCCCAAUAUCCUUUCCACACACGUAGCCACCCACCCACCCACAUGUAUGUGUAAUUGCCUAUAUCUGCAACUGUAUAUGUUACAUGUAGUUCGUCUGUGACUCGGGUCACUAAACUACAGUGAAGCUACUCCCCCUUCCCUCAGCUAAUCUUUCUCUUUUUCUGUUCUUUUUCUUGAGUCUCUCUCUAUCUCUCUAGCCUUUUCUGGCUCUCGACCGUGUGCUUGUUCCGGACGAUGAAUAGGGCAUUGUUGCCGGAGAUGUUGCACUGUACGGACAUGACUGUGCCUGAGAAACAAAGGGCUCGCUUUAAAUGGCAACCAGAACAGCAGCAGCAGCAACCUCAAGAUAGUUUUUUUGGUGAUUUGAGCGGGGUUUUUCAUUUGCAGCAGCAUCAGCUUCAAGGGUUUCAGGGUGAUCUAGGUGAGGUUGUAACUCGGUCUGUGAAGCCUGACCCUGCUUUGAUGGAUAACGGUUGGCCUGAUUUGGUGGGUUUUGGACCUUGUGGCUAUGGGAAUAACAAUGGUUCCGGUUUUGAUAUUAAUUAUGCUAUUUCUAGGACUUCUAGCUGCCCUCCUGCUGUGGCGGAGGCUGCGGUGGAUGCUGCUGUUCUGGCCAACGGCAGAGAGCCUGUUGUGUCAGAGAAGUUGAGUUCUGGAGUUGGUAGAGAGAGUUUGAAGAAGAGAAAGAUUGAUAAAGUGCAGAAUAACACAAAGGUUGUUGCAGAAGAUGACAGUAGAGACAAAAGGAUCAAAGGAUGUGGAGAGGAGGGAGAGUCAAAGUUCAUAGAGAAAAAUAACAACAAAAGCAGUACCACCAGCAAAAACAGUAACAAAGAAAAUUCUGCAGAGACUUCCAAGGAUAAUUCUAAAGUAACUGAGGUUCAAAAACCAGAGUACAUUCAUGUCCGGGUGCGCAGGGGUCAAGCCACUGAUAGCCACAGCUUAGCUGAAAGAGUGAGUAGGAAGGACCUUGUUUAGGCAUAUACCUACACUUAUUUUCUUUAAGCAAUCCUGUUUCGUGCAUAUGAAUUUUCCAGGUAAGGAGGGAAAAAAUCAGUGAAAGAAUGAAGUAUCUGCAAGAUUUGGUGCCAGGAUGCAACAAAAUCACAGGAAAAGCAGGCAUGCUUGACGAAAUCAUUAACUAUGUUCAAUCUCUUCAACGACAAGUAGAGUUCUUGUCCAUGAAACUAGCUGCUGUCAAUCCGAGGCUUGACUUUAACGUUGAUAACUUAUUUGCCAAAGAGGCAUUUCCUGCUUGUGCAACCAAUUUUCCAGCUUCUGGGAUGUCGUCAGAUAUGACUAAUCAUGCCUAUCUUCAAUUUAAUCAAGUACAGCAACAGCAACAACAACAGCUAGUGACAUGUUGCGGAUUGGAUGUGGGGAUAAAUCCUCCUGAUAUGGGGCUUACAAGAACCAUCAGUUCUCCUCGAUCAAUCCCUGAAAUGUUCCUUGACUCUUCUCGCUUCACUGUAAAGUCUUAUAUAUGCCUGGUGUUUCUUAUAUUUGUCUCUAAUUUCGCAUGGUAUAAUUUACCUUGUCUAGAUCAUAAUUUCAUUUUAAUUAUUGCAGCAUAUUCAGCCCUCAUCAACGUGGGAUGCUGAUCUACAAAAUCUUUACAACGUAGCAUUUGAGCAAGGUAGAUCAACAUCCUUCCCAACUCAGCCAUUUACAGUUAAAGAUAGAGUUAACAUGUCUUGUCAAUCUUCACUUUAUUUGUUUUUUGAUAAUUUCCAUAAGGCUAAAAAUAAAGCAAAGUGGGUUUAACUGCCAGUGAUGGAGACCCAAUAAAACCCCACCAAUGCUAAUGAUUUUGCUUUAGGAAAAAUAAAAAAUAAAUAUCAUUGUUUUGUUUGUGAUUGAAAUGAAGGAAGAAAAGCUGGUCACAGGGAACUUUCUAUCUUUUCUUCUAAAUGAUCAAAACCAGUGAUCUUUUCAAUGACUAUAAUUUUCUCAACUAUUUUCUUUUUAAAGAGGAAGCAAUCAAAGAUGCAAAACAUAUUGACUGUAUAAAGACAUAAUGGCCAUUUAUUCCCAAUUGGUGGCAUAGAAAUGGGUCCCUCUAGGUACUGUAUGAUUCUCGCAAUCAAAUAAUCUUGAUGAUUAUGAUUGUUAAUCAUACUAGCUUUUAAUCUAAAAAGCUUAAUGAUAUAAUAAAGAUUUUUUUUCCCUGUUCCUAAAUUCCUCUGCCCUCCAUUAUCUAGUAAGAGUAAUUUAUUCAUUCUAAAAGAUGUUACACUAAUUUUGGCAGGCACCAUUGAAGCUAGCAAUCUGCUGAAGAUGGAGAUGUGAAUGGUUAUAUCUUGAUUUUAUACCAUUCUUGGAAGAGAGAUUAUUCUAAAAUGCCUUUGAUCCUGAUUCUUUUUCUUCUCUAAGUACAUACCGUAUAUAUUUGUAUGUACACUUGCAAUGACAUAGUAUGAAUAAAAUCAAAGCUAUUAACAUCAAAUCCUUCCUUUUCUAACAAUGUAUACAGCAAUCACACUACAAUGAUCUUUUGUUACACCAAAAAUGUCGAUUGCGACAGAGGAGGGGACAAAAGAAUUUGGGUUGAAGGAAAUUUAAAGCAUUGGUGGGGCAAGGCAGGUUAAAAUCGAUGAAGGAAAGGAUAUAUAGCUAAGUUGCUUUCCAUUAGGAGCUAAGUAAUAUCACCCCUUAAAUCAAUGGAAUCCUCUCCGAGACCGUAAAGUUUCGAGUUCGAUUCCUAUAUAUCUCUAAACACGUCUCCUUGUCAUUCCCAUUGUAGAAAGACAAAAAGUGCAAGAGUAAAACAAAGCCAAAACGUGUAAUUGAGAUGUGGAAAAAUAGCCACGAUGGGAUUGCAUAUAUUGCAGUAUCCAGGAAAGUGAAUCCUUGUAGUCCAGUGGCGCAAGUUGUCCCUCUGUUGGAUAAACCUGAGUGACAAAGGUUCAAUUGAGGCCAGAGGAAAUGGAGGUUAUAGGUGGACCAUUUGAGCUCCCUCUUAGGACAGAAUAAUAUUUAUACUGAUUGAGACACUGAUAAUUAACCACAAAUGGAGGAAUAAGGAGCAUGAAUUCAUCAAAAUGUUUUUCAUGUCCUGGCAACCAUCCAAAUUAUAUUUAAUUGAUGUUUGUUCAUUAUGGAGUCUACUAUAUGUGGUUCUUUCAUUCAAAAAUCUAAGUUUUUGCUAUGCAUUUACAUAGUUUAUGGAUAUUUAAUUGCAUGCCAUUUGACAUUUUUCAUUUUUGAAAGCAAAGGAGAACCACUAAUAUAGGCUGAAAAUGACCCAAACCCUAAUUCUCAAUAAAGCUUUUUUAUUUGAUGUCUCUGGUAAUGUCUGAUCCAGUUGGUAUAAACUGGGAAAUAACUUUCAUCUUCAAUUAAAGCAUGGAAAUGGGUGACAUCCUCAAUUACCCACGCUCUAACGCCUUUACUAAGUCUAUGCAUAACCACAAGAGGCUGCUUCUGAUUCUGAAAGCUCGAUGCACCAAUUUCCAACAUAGGCAAUUCCAGAUAAGAAUGUUAUGCAAUUAACACAAGUACAUUAACUACUUCUUUGAGUGACCAAAUAAAGGGGGAACCUCCAAAAAUGAAGGUUUGGUAGCAUAAACACUAAAACCGUUGUACAUAUACGCACAAAAUGAAUCUUAAUUAUAAUUAAGAGCAUGUUUCAGGAUAUUUCCUAACUUGUUGGGUUGUUUCCUUAUUCCCAAAGAAAACUAACCCAAUUUUCUGAUGUUGGA